UAUGAAGAACGUAGCGAAAUGCGAUAAGUAAUGUGAAUUGCAGAAUUCAGUGAAUCAUCGAAUCUUUGAACGCACAUUGCGCCCAUUAGUAUUCUAGUGGGCAUGCCUGUUCGAGCGUCAUUAAGUCCACUUAAGCCCUGCUUAGUGUUGGGAGACUGCUCCAGCGGUGCUACCCUGUAGCUACCCUGCAGCUCCUCAAAGACAGCGGCGGAGUUGUGGUAUCCUCUGAGCUUAGUAACUUGUUCUAGCUUUCGAGUACACCACUUCCCCUGCCGUAAAACCCUUAAUUUUUAAUGGUUGACCUCGGAUCAGGUAGGAAUACCCGCUGAACUUAAGCAUAUAAUAAGCGGAGGA
rnacentral:misc_RNA from 1 species